rnacentral:rRNA from 1 species
UAUAGAGGUCUCAAGCGUUGUUCGGAUUCAUUGGGCGUAAAGGGUGCGUAGGCGGCGCGGUAAGUCGGGUGUGAAAUCUCGGGGCUUAACUCCGAAACUGCAUUCGAUACUGCCGUGCUUGAGGACUGGAGAGGAGACUGGAAUUUACGGUGUAGCGGUGAAAUGCGUAGAUAUCGUAAGGAAGACCAGUGGCGAAGGCGGGUCUCUGGACAGUUCCUGACGCUGAGGCACGAAGGCCAGGGGAGCAAACGGG